GACGAACGCUGGCGGCGUGCCUAAUACAUGCAAGUCGAACGCUUCUUUCCUCCCGAGUGCUUGCACUCAAUUGGAAAGAGGAGUGGCGGACGGGUGAGUAACACGUGGGUAACCUACCCAUCAGAGGGGGAUAACACUUGGAAACAGGUGCUAAUACCGCAUAACAGUUUAUGCCGCAUGGCAUAAGAGUGAAAGGCGCUUUCGGGUGUCGCUGAUGGAUGGACCCGCGGUGCAUUAGCUAGUUGGUGAGGUAACGGCUCACCAAGGCCACGAUGCAUAGCCGACCUGAGAGGGUGAUCGGCCACACUGGGACUGAGACACGGCCCAGACUCCUACGGGAGGCAGCAGUAGGGAAUCUUCGGCAAUGGACGAAAGUCUGACCGAGCAACGCCGCGUGAGUGAAGAAGGUUUUCGGAUCGUAGAACUCUGUUGUUAGAGAAGAACAAGGACGUUAGUAACUGAACGUCCCCUGACGGUAUCUAACCAGAAAGCCACGGCUAACUACGUGCCAGCAGCCGCGGUAAUACGUAGGUGGCAAGCGUUGUCCGGAUUUAUUGGGCGUAAAGCGAGCGCAGGCGGUUUCUUAAGUCUGAUGUGAAAGCCCCCGGCUCAACCGGGGAGGGUCAUUGGAAACUGGGAGACUUGAGUGCAGAAGAGGAGAGUGGAAUUCCAUGUGUAGCGGUGAAAUGCGUAGAUAUAUGGAGGAACACCAGUGGCGAAGGCGGCUCUCUGGUCUGUAACUGACGCUGAGGCUCGAAAGCGUGGGGAGCAAACAGGAUUAGAUACCCUGGUAGUCCACGCCGUAAACGAUGAGUGCUAAGUGUUGGAGGGUUUCCGCCCUUCAGUGCUGCAGCAAACGUAUUAAGCACUCCGCCUGGGGAGUACGACCGCAAGGUUGAAACUCAAAGGAAUUGACGGGGGCCCGCACAAGCGGUGGAGCAUGUGGUUUAGUUCGAAGCAACGCGAAGAACCUUACCAGGUCUUGACAUCCUUUGACCACUCUAGAGAUAGAGCUUUCCCUUCGGGGACAAAGUGACAGGUGGUGCAUGGUUGUCGUCAGCUCGUGUCGUGAGAUGUUGGGUUAAGUCCCGCAACGAGCGCAACCCUUAUUGUUAGUUGCCAUCAUUUAGUUGGGCACUCUAGCGAGACUGCCGGUGACAAACCGGAGGAAGGUGGGGAUGACGUCAAAUCAUCAUGCCCCUUAUGACCUGGGCUACACACGUGCUACAAUGGGAAGUACAACGAGUCGCUAGACCGCGAGGUCAUGCAAAUCUCUUAAAGCUUCUCUCAGUUCGGAUUGCAGGCUGCAACUCGCCUGCAUGAAGCCGGAAUCGCUAGUAAUCGCGGAUCAGCACGCCGCGGUGAAUACGUUCCCGGGCCU
rnacentral:rRNA from 1 species